rnacentral:tRNA from 1 species
UUUUCUGUGGCUUAGUUGGUUAAAGCGCCGGUCUAGCGAAUACGGAGUCGUGGGUUCGAAUUCCACAAGAACAC